GGCAUUCCUAUCAGAGCCUGAACCACAGACAGUACCUUAGAGUCUAAGCUUAGAUACCUUUGUCUUGUUUUUGUGGCUAAGGAUUCUCAGAGUUGCGGGAUGCUGAUGAAAUUUAUCCCAAAAAGUGUGAAGAGUGCAAAGACCUUAUAGAAUCUGUGCUGGAGGAGGAGGUGCAGUUUCAGGAGAGGGAGCUGGCCGAAUUGCCGAGGUCAGCUGCAAGGCUCCGGAUACAUGAUCCCUUAAUUCAGGCUCAGGCUGAAGAACUGACCCACUUACAACAGAAGAUACAGGAAGGGAGAGGUGUCUGCUACCUUUUCACCCAGCAUGUGAAGAACACAGUCAAGUCUUUUGAGGGCCUUCUCAGGAACACUGACAUUGCCUACUACCAGAGACAGAGAUUCUGUGAGCAAAUGGUACAAGGAAGCCAGCUGACAGAGAUCCUUGUCAGAAAACUUGCCACAGAAUCAACCCCAAUGCUCACUAACAAACUGAGAAGAAAAAAAAGAAUUACCCCCAACAACAUCUGAGGAAGCACAACAGGGACAGACUUGAAGGCACCUGGGCAGUCCUCUGGUUUUGGAGUAGAGGCAGCUGACGUCUGGUGAUGAUUCACCAUAUCAGGAACACCCUGUCCAGUGGGCUAAGGCAAGCCUGCCAGGCCACUUCUCUAAAGACACAACCUGAGGCCUCCUGCAAUAAUUCUCACAGAGCAUUCUGAACAUACAUAAAAUCACAAUGGUAAGAAAAAUGAAGACAGGCAAAAGCCACUGGCUCCCAGGUAACUCUACAUGAUGAAGGGGCUGAUAAUGGACUGACCAAAUCUAGAGAGAAUUCCAGAAGCAAGGACUCAAGAGGUUAAAGGUCCCAGAUCUAGAAAAAGCAGAAACUGCUGAUUGUUCCUUUUUUUGUUGACUGAUUAUACAAUGUGUCCUUUUAAAAAU
rnacentral:lncRNA from 1 species